AACCAUUCUCACCUGCGGCUAGACCUGCGGAAGGAUCAUUACAAGUGACCCCGGUCUAACCACCGGGAUGUUCAUAACCCUUUGUUGUCCGACUCUGUUGCCUCCGGGGCGACCCUGCCUUCGGGCGGGGGCUCCGGGUGGACACUUCAAACUCUUGCGUAACUUUGCAGUCUGAGUAAACUUAAUUAAUAAAUUAAAACUUUCAACAAUGGAUCU
rnacentral:misc_RNA from 1 species